GGAGACAACAGCUCCCAUGGCACUAUGGCAGAGACCUGGCACAUCCACGGUCUUCCCUGGCAGGUCUUCUGAAGUCUUCCUGAAAGCAUCCCUGGUGAUCUGUGAGCCCUUGGUCGUGUUGCCCGCCUUCUUCCUGUGGGUCUUGCUGGAUGCUCAUUGUCCCUGUGAGCCGAGGCCCUGGAGGCUUCAGAUUUAGGUGAUGUUGCCACGUAUGACUGUCCAUCAGCCAGGAGAUGAACCCCCCACCCGUGAGGCAGUGACUCAAGGUGCAAGGGAGUCCGGCAAGAAGUGUGGCGCACCCGAGUUGCUGCCACUGCUUUUUGGAUCACCCAGCACGGUGAUGUUGCCACGUAUGACUGUCCAUCAGCCAGGAGAUGAACCCCCACCCGUGAGGCAGUGACUCAAGGUGCAAGGGAGUCCGGCAAGAAGUGUGGCGCACCCGAGUUGCUGCCACUGCUUUUUGGAUCACCCAGCACGGUACGGCUUCUCCUGCCCCAAGACGUGUCGUGAAUUUCAGGUUUCCUGGGACUGCCUGAGUGGUUGUUCGUAUAGAGGGACCGUUCCUCUUGCUGAGAAGCCUGAGGGCUCUGAGUUCCCCUGGCUGCUGGAGGACUCCCGGGUCACUGGCUCCUCCUGGGAGCAGCCCUUCCUGCCGUGAGGAGGUGGGCAGCAAGCCAGCACGUGCUCGGAUCGAUGAUGACACCCUCACAUGCAUUCCUUGGAAAAUCUGAACAAAAUGAGUGAGAAACUCAAUACCGUCUCCUCGUCGAACUGAGGUCCCAGCACGUUGCCUCCCUUGGGGUUAAGG
rnacentral:lncRNA from 1 species